AAUAGCAUGCUUGACAAAAAGGUCGUCUUGAUAGGGCGAAUAAUGAAAGCCUAUCUUUCUGCUAUUA
rnacentral:tRNA from 1 species